AUCAUCGGCUCACUUUAUAGAACCUACAAAUUGAUUGGUUAUGAAAUGAAGAGAUGUGAGACAUUACUAUCCUACAGAGACCAAAUGAUGUUGAUGUAAAAUAGGUUACUGUAUGGACUUCAACAAUGAGAAAAUCAACCAACAUUAAGAUUUUGCAAUAUUCUGAAUUAGAAUGACUUUGUUUAUACCUCUAACCUUUAACAUCUGAUAUUUUUAUUAUCUAGAGCUCUGUAAAAAAAAAUAUCAAAAAAAUAUAAAAAAAGAAAAUACCAAAAAAUAAUAUAUGAAAACAAAAUCCUUUGUAAACAGAGUUCUAGAUAAUAAACAUUGAGGGUGGUGUAAAAGGUGGGAUUAUUGUAAUAUUUUUUAUGACCCCCACCUUAAAGUCUUCUAAAGUUAUCAUUUUUAAAACAAACAAAAAUUGCAAUGGCAAUUUAAAAAGUAUAUAGUUCCUACAUGUAGGGACAGUGCCACUCUGCACGUUAAAGAACCCUUGCCACAAGUCUUUAAGGGGUCAGUAGGUGGCCUGUUGCAAGGCUUAAUUUCUGUCCAACAUAUCCUCCUCUCAGUUGGCAGUCAAAAUUUCCCCUACCUUCAUCAUCGGCCCACUUUAUAGAACCUACAAAUUGAUUUGUUAUGAAAUGAAGAGAUGCGAGACAACUAUCCUACAGAGACCAAAUGAAAUUGCAUGUUACUGUAUGGACUUCAACAAUGAGAAAAUCAACUAACAUUAAAAUUUUGCAAUAUUCUGAAUUAGAAUGACUUUGUUAAUACCUCUAACCUUUAACAUCUGAUAUUUUUAUUAUCUAGAGCUCUGUAAAAAAAAUAUAAAAAAAAAUAUAAAAAAAGAAAUAAAAAAAGAAAAUACCAAAAAAUAAUAUAUGAAAACAAAAUCGUUUGUAAACAGAGUUCUAGAUAAUAAACAUUGAGGGUGGUGUAAAAGGUAGGAUUAUUGUAAUAUUUUUUAUGACCCCCACCUUAAAGUCUUCUUAUGUUAUCAUGUUUAAAUCAAACAAAAAUUGCAAUGGCAAUUUAAAAAGUAUAGUUCCUAUGUGUAGGGACAGUGCCAUUAUGUACGUUAAAGAACUGUUGUCACAAGUCUUUGAGGGGUCAGUAGGUGGCCUGUUGCAAGGCUUAAUUUCUGUCCAACAUAUCCUCCUCUCAGUAGGCAGUCAAAAUUUCCCCUACGUUCAUCAUCGGCCCACUUUAUAGAACCUACAAAUUGAUUUGUUAUGAAAUAAGGAGAUGCGAGACAACUAUCCUACAGAGACCAAAUGAAAGUGUAUGUUACUGUAUGGACUUCAACAAUGAGAAAAUCAACUAACACUAAAAUUUUGCAAUAUUCUGAAUAAUAAUGACUUUGUUAAUACCUCUAACCUUUAACAUCUGAUAUUUUUAUUAUCUAGAGCUCUGUAAAAAAAAUAUAAAAAAAAAUAUAAAAAAAGAAAUAAAAAAAGAAAAUACCAAAAAAUAAUAUAUGAAAACAAAAUCGUUUGUAAACAGAGUUCUAGAUAAUAAACAUUGAGGGUGGUGUAAAAGGUGGGAUUAUUGUAAUAUUUUUUAUGACCCCCACCUUAAAGUCUUCUUAUGUUAUCAUGUUUAAAACAAACAAAAAUUGCAAUGGCAAUUUAAAAAGUAUAGUUCCUAUGUGUAGGGACAGUGCCACUAUGUACUUUAAAGGACCCUUGCCACAAGUCUUUGAGGGGUCAGUAGGUGGCCUGUUGCAAGUCUUAAUUUCUGCCCAACAUAUCCUCCUCUCAGUUGGCAGUCAAAAUUUCCCUUACCUUCAUCAUCGGCCCACUUUAUAGAACCUACAAAUUGAUUGGUUAUGAAAUGAAGAGAUGUGAGACAACAGUCCUACAGAGACUAAAUGAUGUUGAUGUAAAAUAGGUUACUGUAUGGACUUCAACAAUGAGAAAAUCAACCAACAUUAAAAUUUUGCAAUAUUCUGAUUUAGAAAGACUUUGCCUCUAACCUUUAAAAUCUGAUAUUUUUAUUAUUUAGAGCUCUGUAAAAAAUAUAAAAAAAGAAAAUACCAAAAAAUAAUAUGAAAACAAAAUCGUUUGUAAACAGAGUUCUAGAUAAUAAACAUUGAGGAUGUUGUAAAAAGUAGGCAUAUUUAAAAUUUUGUUUAUUAUUAUGAAUAGUGCACUGUAUAAUUUGUAAAAAUGUUUAUUUUGAAGUCUUGGAAAAUUGUGAAACUUUAGAACUGUGUUUAUUUGAGAUGUCUUUAUUCAGUCUUCAAUGAUUGUCAUGGCAAUUGAGGACAAUAGAAUAUAGCUCUGUGUAGAAACUGACUUUUUUAUAUCAAGAAAGAUCCAACAAAAGUUUUCAAUGAUAUCUAGAGACGAAAGACAGAAAUACUAAAAGGUUUUCUAUGAGAUUGGUGGAUUAUGUACAGUCAGACAACUGGCACACUCAAGAUAAAAGUUAAAUAGCUAUUAAAAUAAAAUUAUGGACUUGUAUAAUAACAUUAAUGAAGACAGAUGUUCUAUAGUGAAGACAUGUUCCUACAUAAUGUUCUAUAGUGAAGACAUGUUCCUACAUAAUGUUCUAUAGUGAAGACAUGUUCCUACAUAAUGUUCUAUAGUGAAGACAUGUUCAUACAUAAUGUUCUAUAGUGAAGACAUGUUCAUACAUAAUGUUCUAUAGUGAAGACCUGUUCCUACAUAAUGUCUUAUAGUGAAGACGUAUUCCUACAUAUUGUUCUAUAGUGAAGACAUGUUCCUACAUAAUGUUCUAUAGAGAAGACAUGUUCCUACAUAAUGUUCUAUAGUGAAGACAGAUGUUCUAUAGCACAAACAGAUGUUCCUAAGUUGCAAUGAAGUAUUCAGAAGACAGACAGACAGUUUCCUUUUGCAAUGAAAUUAUCCAGAACACAUAGUUGAUUAGAUUUCCAGUUCAUUACAUAUUCUGACGUUUUCUCAAGAAAAACACAAGAUUUCAAUGUUCAAUGAAAGGAGAAAUUCUUAAAAUUUAUGCUGGACAUCUCAUAUCAAGGAUCCAUCACAAUAUUGAUAUUAGACUUAUGAAGAAUAUUCUGAUAAAUUAAUGAUGUACGACAAAUCGUGCUACAAGUAUCAUACCAGCAAAAUUAUUUGAUGGGAGUAAAACAUAGGAGCAGGAUCUCACCUCAUACAAGUGAGGAGGAACAAUUGAACUGAUGAGCUUGGAAACAUCUGAAAGGUAUACAUAAGAAAAACAGACUACCUAGAAUAAGAAAAGAGAAAGAUUAACUCAUAGAGUAAAGGGUAAAAACAGACCACCUAGAAUAAGAAAAGAGAAAGAUUAACUCAUAGAGUAAAGGGUAAAAACAGACCACCUAGAAUAAGAAAAGAGAAAGAUUAACUCAUAGAGUAAAGGGUAAAAACAGACCACCUAGAAUAAGGAAAGAGAAAGAUUAACUCAUAGAGUAAAGGGUAAAAACAGACCACCUAGAAUAAGAAAAGAGAAAGAUUAACUCAUAGAGUAAAGGGUAAAAACAGACCACCUAGAAUAAGAAAAGAGAAAGAUUAACUCAUAGAGUAAAGGGUAAAAACAGACCACCUAGAAU